rnacentral:lncRNA from 1 species
ACAGUAAUUUAGCACCUCCCAAAUUCCCCAACUAAACAAGGCCUCAAUUCAAGGACGCUGCCGCCUGCCUGCCUGCCUGCGAACGCUUGCAGUGGGGGCUCACUGGUCGCCGUCAACAUUGCAUCAAUCUUCGGGCAUGUGUGCAUGGACCCAUACCACACUCUGACCAUCUGAACAAUGGGACAAGGGCACAUUUACAAUGUAGGGUCCGGUCCAGCUGCACCCAUCGAAUUGGAGAGUCCUUGUUUAAGGGUUUCUUCCUUUUCUCUCUGCAGAAAAAAUGGAAACAAGAGGGAAGAAAGAGAAAUGAGUGUUGAUCAUUAUAGUAGUAGCCUGUCAUUUAUGAGAGUCAACUGCUAGCUUCUCAACUAAGCCGGGUUGGUGAUUAGUGUACUUGGCGAUUAGGUUUCAGUUUCAACAUUUAUACAGUAGUGCCGCCCGAUAAUCAGGUUUCAUUAUCACGGUCAAAUAUGUGGAGUCGAUGUCAAUCAAGAAAGGACUGUCAGAAGGCCGUACGGGGCUAUAUGAUCCAACUAAUGAUGGCACCAUUAGGCUUUCUUUGGAAGGAAUAGGAUUUUAUUGCAUUGAGGAGAAAGAAUCGCAGGAUGCUUACUUGUCAUUCAUUGAGAAGUUAUUAUUGCUAUGAGCCCUUGUGGACUGUCUUUUCCUUUCCUUUUGUUCAGUGCAGCCGGCCGUG